CGUAAGGCGCCGAAUGAGUCAUUAAAAAAUUAACAUCAUCCGAUCCCUAGUCGGCAUAGUUUAUGGUUAAGACUACGACGGUAUCUGAUCGUCUUCGAUCCCCUAACUUUCGUUCUUGAUUAAUGAAAACAUCCUUGGCAAAUGCUUUCGCAGUAGUUAGUCUUCAAUAAAUCCAAAGAAUUUCACCUCUGACAAUUGAAUACUAAUCGCCCCCAAUAUCCCUAUUAAUCAUUACGUCAAUCCUAAGAAACCAACAAAAUAGGAUCGAACGUCCUAUUUCAUUAUCCAUGCUAAUGUAUUCAAGC
rnacentral:rRNA from 1 species